AGAGUUUGAUUCUGGCUCAGGACGAACGCUGGCGGCGCGCCUAACACAUGCAAGUCGAACGAGCGAGAGAGAGCUUGCUUUCUCGAGCGAGUGGCGAACGGGUGAGUAACGCGUGAGGAACCUGCCUCAAAGAGGGGGACAACAGUUGGAAACGACUGCUAAUACCGCAUAAGCCCACGGGUCGGCAUCGACCAGAGGGAAAAGGAGCAAUCCGCUUUGAGAUGGCCUCGCGUCCGAUUAGCUAGUUGGUGAGGUAAUGGCCCACCAAGGCGACGAUCGGUAGCCGGACUGAGAGGUUGAACGGCCACAUUGGGACUGAGACACGGCCCAGACUCCUACGGGAGGCAGCAGUGGGGAAUAUUGCACAAUGGGGGAAACCCUGAUGCAGCGACGCCGCGUGGAGGAAGAAGGUCUUCGGAUUGUAAACUCCUGUUGUUGGGGAAGAUAAUAACGGUACCCAACAAGGAAGUGACGGCUAACUACGUGCCAGCAGCCGCGGUAAAACGUAGGUCACAAGCGUUGUCCGGAAUUACUGGGUGUAAAGGGAGCGCAGGCGGGAAGACAAGUUGGAAGUGAAAUCUAUGGGCUCAACCCAUAAACUGCUUUCAAAACUGUUUUUCUUGAGUAGUGCAGAGGUAGGCGGAAUUCCCGGUGUAGCGGUGGAAUGCGUAGAUAUCGGGAGGAACACCAGUGGCGAAGGCGGCCUACUGGGCACUAACUGACGCUGAGGCUCGAAAGUGUGGGUAGCAA
rnacentral:rRNA from 1 species